UGCGUAGGCGGCCCUGUAAGUCAGUGGUGAAAUACUCCAGCUUAACUGGAGGGGUGCCAUUGAUACUGCAGGGCUUGAGUGGAGUCGAAGUAGGCGGAAUUGACGGUGUAGCGGUGAAAUGCUUAGAUAUCGUCAAGAACACCGAUAGUGAAGACAGCUUACUAGGCUUCUACUGACGCUGAGGCACGAAAGUGUGGGGAUCAAACAGGAUUAGAUACCCUGGUAGUCCACACUGUAAACGUUGAUUACUCGCUGUUGGCGAUACACUGCCAGCGGCCCAGCGCAAGCGAUAAGUAAUCCACCUGGGGAGUACGCCGGCAACGGUGAA
rnacentral:rRNA from 1 species